CUUGUACUCCCUCCGUCCGGAAAUACUUGCCAUCAAAAUAAAAAGAAGGAGAUGUAUAUAGAUAUAUUUUAGUUCUAGAUACAUUCCUUUUUGUCCAUUUUGAUGACAAGUAUUUCCGGACGGAGGGAGUAUCUU
rfam:Triticum aestivum genome assembly, contig: Triticum_aestivum_CS42_TGACv1_scaffold_146841_2BS